CGCGCCGCACACUUGCCUGCCCGCCUCCCCGAGCGGCCUUCACCGCUCCGGCGAGAGGCCGCGGGGGUCACCGGGGAUGCACCGCGGACACCCGAGCUCCACCGAGCGGCCUCCCCGCCCCCUCCGCUCCGCCGCCGGCAGACGGCGCCCCCGGGCUAACUUCGCCGGGGAAGAGGAAGCGACGAGACUAACAGCGCGGACGGACCGGGAGGCCGGAAGGACUGUGCGUGUCCGCACGCAGGCAGGGCCGUCUCACCUUCCCCUCCGCCGAGCCCGCGGCCCCCGUCACCUGAGGACUGCACCGGGACGCCACCGCGGCUGCCCGGAGGCCGUUACCGCACGAGGCCUGUGCUGCGCCGCCGCGUAGCUCUCAGAGAGAGGCGGGGCGAGAGCAACCGGUGGGCGGGCCGGUGCGGGCAGGAAACCCGCUCCACGCCCAAUCUAAUAGGCUCCAUCGCCUCCGGGGCCCGCCCCUGACGCCACAGCGGAAGGCGCCGCUCCGGGAUUGGACGAGCUGGCCUGUCAAUCAAGCGCGGCGCUGAGGGUUCGGUGAGCUGAGACUGCGCGGCGCUCAGAGCGGAGAAGCACUCUCAGGACCUGCACCACAUCUGCCUGUGGCCCUCCAUGUUCCCGUCAUGAUGAUAAUGCACUGAACUUCUAAAACUGACUUGGGGUUGAAUCUACAGCAGCUUGCUAUAUAGUAGGAGUAUGGCAUGUCUGCUUUACUUACAUACUUACCGUAGAAUCAUAAACAGGAGCAGCUAUGAAAAAAGACUUUCAUAUAAGGAUAAGGAGACUCUGUCCAAACAUUAGCUCUCACAUCAUCAGACACAAAAUGGUCUGGAUUAUGGAUUAUAUACAAUAGGUGAGAAUUCUUUAUACUCUACACUCAUUCCCUAUAUAUUGCCUAAUGUGGCCCACUAUGAGAAGACAAACUUUCCAUUCUAAUGUUUAGACUCCCUGUUACUGAAAAUCCAGCUUUUCUUUACUCCCCUUAUUCAUCUCAACUCAAAGCCUUUAGAUUUUUAGCGGAAAAAUGGACUUUAGCUAGGUGUCCAACAUUUUAUCUAUGGUGUAAUUUUCAUGAAUAUUUUUAAAUAUUGAAGGAUGUUUGUUGCACAUUUGUAGAACAUUAAUAAACAUUUUUUCAUCUG